rnacentral:lncRNA from 1 species
CAUACGUACACAUAUUAUUUGUUAUUUUUUAGGUGAAAACAUAGAAAACUUAUCUAAACUAUUGAUCAUCUUGAAUAGUUUAUUCAAACUUUUAAAAUUUUUAUUUUACUAUCCAAUCUUUUAAUUUGCUUGAUUCGAGUAAAUAAACGAUAUCGUGACUCUAAAAUUUAAGCAAUUUACUUACUUUAACAAAAUAACAGUUGUGCGCAUUAUAUAAAAUAUACUAAGUAAAUUUGUAAAAAUAGAUACAGAUUCAAAAUUUAAAGCCAAAAUAUCGUUAACUGACUCAGAUCAAAUAAAUUGAAAGUUUAGAUAGUAAAAUCAUAAUUUUGAAAUGUUGGAUAGUUAAAUCGAAAUAAUGCGUAGUUCAAAAAAAGUUUGUACAUUUUUAGCAUUUUCUAUUUUUUAAAAAAUGCUACACUAGUACACCUACACCCUUUAAAUAUGUGUUAUUUUUACAUC